ACGCUCGACACCUACGGGGGCAGCAGUGGGGAAUAUUGCACAAUGGGGGAAACCCUGAUGCAGCGACGCCGCGUGAGUGAAGAAGUAUUUCGGUAUGUAAAGCUCUAUCAGCAGGGAAGAAAAUGACGGUACCUGACUAAGAAGCCCCGGCUAACUACGUGCCAACAGCCGCGGUAAUCUGAGCGGGCUGGCAAGGC
rnacentral:rRNA from 1 species